GACGUAGGGCGCGAGCGUUGUCCGGAUUUAUUGGGCGUAAAGAGCUCGUAGGCGGCUCGUUGCGUCGGCUGUGAAAACCCGCAGCUCAACCGUGGGCUUGCAGCUGAUACGGGCGGGCUGGAGUUCGGUAGGGGAGACUGGGAUUCCUGGUGUAGCGGUGAAAUGCGCAGAUAUCAGGAGGAACACCGGUGGCGAAGGCGGCGACCUGGGUAGAUACUGACGCUGAGGUGCGAAAGCGUGGGGAGCAAACAGG
rnacentral:rRNA from 1 species